AUAGUAAUUGGGAAAUGGUGGUGUGAGAUGGAGCCCUGCCUAGAAGGAGAAGAAUGUAAGACACUCCCUGACAAUUCUGGAUGGAUGUGUGCUACAGGCAACAAGAUUAAGACUACACGAAUUCACCCAAGAACCUAACAGAAGCAUUUGUUAUAUAAAUAGGAAAAAGAACCACCUGUGGAAUAUACGUUGUGAGGAUUUAAAACAUCUUCCAUAGUUGAAAGCCAAGUGGAUCUCUUCUCUGCACUUUGGUUACCAGAUAAUCACAGUGCACUUACUCUGAUACACAGUAUCCCAAAAGAAGACUCGGGAUUUUUCUAGCAANGUCACGGAAAAUGGCUCUUAAAAAAUGAGUUUUCUCUGUGAAAUUUGGAGGAUCAUGAAGAACGAUCAACUGUCUUCUAAUUUGGAACUACCAUUACUUUGUACCAUUUGAAAUAUAUAUGUAUAUAUAAUAUUUUGAAAUAUUAUAUAUUCUCUUCAAGAAAUGAACAGUACCACAAUGUGAGGUGGCUGGUGUAUCCCAUUCAGUUUUGGAUGUUUGGUAGGUUUUGUUUUGUUUGCCAUUCCUUUUUCUCUCGGUAAGGAAGAUACAUGCCCAUGUGAGAAUCCAACAUGGCACUCUCCCUGGAAGGCCAGCUGCAAGCCGACUCCUGGAAGCUGAGGCAUCCUAACAGUACUGAGUCAAGAGCUUCUCCCUGUUUCUACCUGGUGACCCAAGGAAGCUCCUUGUCUUGAUUUAUUGCUUUCUAUCCUGUGCAAUAUUAGCAUGCAAGCUUGGCUUACAUAACCAUACUUUAUAUUCGAUUGAUAUAUAAUAACCGUUCUAACCUCUUCCAGGAAAAUAUUUUUAGAACUACUAGCUUUUCCACAGAUAAGCAAAUGGGGAUUCUUAAGGGAGCUGCUCCACUGUGCUAUUAAGACUCUGGCAGGAUGGUAGGAUGUAGAUCCCUAUAUUAAUAAGUCCUGUAAAUACAGUGUCUUAGGGCUUUGUAUAGCUGUCCUAGACUACAGAAGUGUCCUCUGAUUAAAUCCAAAGUCUGCCAUUGUUAACUCCAUAGUGCUGUAGCGACAUGUUUUAUCAUGGCGCCUCUUUCUAUGUUUGCUUUGCUUUUUCCUAGAGUGUUCAUCUCUCCUCUGAUGAGAUAGGAAAGCUAUGGAAGCAAUUAGGUUUCCUAAUGAUCUAUGUGACCAAGUGUUGGACAGCCCUAUUAAAGUGGUAAAUAACUUCUUUCUUAA